rnacentral:rRNA from 1 species
GCAGUCCUACGGGACGCAGCAGUGAGGAAUAUUGGUCAAUGGUCGGGAGACUGAACCAGCCACGCCGCGUGAGGGAGGAAGGUACAGAGUAUCGUAAACCUCUUUUGUCAGGGAACAAAGGCGGGGACGUGUCCCCGGAUGAGUGUACCUGAAGAAAAAGCAUCGGCUAACUCCGUGCCAGCAGCCGCGGUAAUACGGAGGAUGCGAGCGUUAUCCGGAUUUAUUGGGUUUAAAGGGUGCGCAGGAGGUCUGUUAAGUUAGCCGUCAAAG